GCAAGUCGAAGGAGAAGGUAGAAGCUUGCUUUUACUGGAGACUGGCGGACGGGUGAGUAACGCGUAGAUAACCUGCCUAUGGCUGGGGGAUAACACUGCGAAAGUGGUGCUAAUACCGCAUAAUGCAGCGGGGCCGCAUGGCCAUAGUUGUUAAAGGUUUCGGCCGGCUAUAGAUGGGUCUGCGUGCUAUUAGUUAGUUGGUAGGUAACGGCCUACCAAGGCGAUGAUAGCUAGGGGGUCUGAGAGGAUGAUCCCCCACACUGGGACUGAGACACGGCCCAGACCCCUACGGGAGGCAGCAGUGAGGAAUCUUGCGCAAUGGGCGAAAGCCUGACGCAGCCACGCCGCGUGCCGGAUGAAGGCCCUAUGGGUUGUAAACGGCUUUUACUAGGGAAGAACGAGAGGGUUUCGAUCUUCUGUGACGGUACCUAGUGAAUAAGCACCGGCUAACUCCGUGCCAGCAGCCGCGGUAAUACGGAGGGUGCAAGCGUUGUCCGGAAUCAUUGGGUGUAAAGGGUACGUAGGCGGGAGCCUAAGUCUGGGGUGAAAUCUUGCCGCUUAACGGUAAAAUGGCCCUGGAUACUGGGUUUCUUGAGUGCAGAAGAGGCAGGUGGAAUUCGUGGUGUAGCGGUGAAAUGCUUAGAUAUCACGAAGAACAUCAGUGGCGAAGGCGGCCUGCUGGUCUGCAACUGACGCUGAGGUACGAAAGCGUGGGGAGCGAACAGGAUUAGAUACCCUGGUAGUCCACGCCGUAAACGAUGCAUACUAAGUGUUGGCCUUUGGGCCAGUGCUGC
rnacentral:rRNA from 1 species